CGGGAAGAGCUCAAAUUUAAAAUCUGGCGGUGUAUUCCGUCCGAGUUGUAGUCUAGAGAAGCAUCAUCCGUGCUGGACCAUGUACAAGUCUCUUGGAACAGAGCGUCAUAGAGGGUGAGAAUCCCGUC
rnacentral:rRNA from 1 species